GCCCCUCUACUGUCGUACGUAGGUGGUGUCGUAGGUGGGGCAUAAAAACAUAUUGAUGAACAUAUUUAUUGAUUGGAAAUUAGGAAUUAUAAAAUAUAUACAAAUAAUUGUGUUUUUCUUUCAACUUAAAAUUGUUUCUUAAAGCUUAUAAUGUGACCUAUCUAUUUUCACAUUUAAUUGUAAAUUAUAUUUUAGCAUGGAAACGUAAACGAAG
rnacentral:lncRNA from 1 species